UACGUGAGGGGCGAACGUUGUUCGGUGUCACUGGGCUUAAAGGGUGCGUAGGUGGUUUCGUAAGUAAGGUGUGAAAGCCCUCGGCUUACCCGGGGAAUUGCGCCUUAUACUGCGAGACUUGAGGAUUUCAGGGGAAAGGGGAACUCCAGGUGUAGCGGUGAAAUGCGCAGAUAUCUGGGGGAAGGCCGGCGGCGAAGGCGCCUUUCUGGGAAAUUCCUGAUACUGAGGCACGAAAGCGUGGGGAGCAAACAGG
rnacentral:rRNA from 1 species